rnacentral:rRNA from 1 species
CCGCGGGAUUAGAGUUUGAUCCUGGCUCAGAUUGAACGCUGGCGGCAGGCUUAACACAUGCAAGUCGAGCGGAUGAAGGUAGCUUGCUACUGGAUUCAGCGGCGGACGGGUGAGUAAUGCUUAGGAAUCUGCCUAUUAGUGGGGGACAACGUUCCGAAAGGAGCGCUAAUACCGCAUACGUCCUACGGGAGAAAGCAGGGGACCUUUGGGCCUUGCGCUAAUAGAUGAGCCUAAGUCGGAUUAGCUAGUUGGUAGGGUAAAGGCCUACCAAGGCGACGAUCUGUAGCGGGUCUGAGAGGAUGAUCCGCCACACUGGGACUGAGACACGGCCCAGACUCCUACGGGAGGCAGCAGUGGGGAAUAUUGGACAAUGGGGGGAACCCUGAUCCAGCCAUGCCGCGUGUGUGAAGAAGGCCUUUUGGUUGUAAAGCACUUUAAGCGAGGAGGAGGCUACCUAGAUUAAUACUUUAGGAUAGUGGACGUUACUCGCAGAAUAAGCACCGGCUAACUCUGUGCCAGCAGCCGCGGUAAUACAGAGGGUGCGAGCGUUAAUCGGAUUUACUGGGCGUAAAGCGUGCGUAGGCGGCCAAUUAAGUCAAAUGUGAAAUCCCCGAGCUUAACUUGGGAAUUGCAUUCGAUACUGGUUGGCUAGAGUAUGGGAGAGGAUGGUAGAAUUCCAGGUGUAGCGGUGAAAUGCGUAGAGAUCUGGAGGAAUACCGAUGGCGAAGGCAGCCAUCUGGCCUAAUACUGACGCUGAGGUACGAAAGCAUGGGGAGCAAACAGGAUUAGAUACCCUGGUAGUCCAUGCCGUAAACGAUGUCUACUAGCCGUUGGGGCCCU